rnacentral:rRNA from 1 species
CAAUAGCGUAUAUUAAAGUUGUUGCGGUUAAAAGCUCGUAGUUGAAUAUCUGCUUUGGGAAACCUCGUCAUUCAACUGAUUGGUGAGUGUUUUCCUUAGCAUUCUUCUGAGAUCAGGCAUGUGCUUAAUUGUGCUACGCCGUCUCGGGACAUAUUACUUUGAGGAAAUUAUAGUGUUCCAAGCAAGCAUAACGCUUUGAAUAUAAUAGCAUGGAAUAAUGUUAUAAGGCUUUUGCCCUAUAUUGUUGGUUUUAUGGGCUUAAGUAAUGAUUAAUAGGGAUAGUCGGGGGCGAUUCGUACUUAACUGUCAGAGGUGAAAUUCUUGGAUUUGUUAAAGACGAACUACUGCGAAAGCAUUUGCCAAGGAUGUUUUCAUUAAUCAAGAACGAAAGUUAGGGGAUCGAAGACGAUUAGAUACCAU